rnacentral:rRNA from 1 species
GACGUAGGGCGCGAGCGUUGUCCGGAUUUAUUGGGCGUAAAGAGCUCGUAGGCGGCUUGUCGCGUCGACUGUGAAAACCCGCGGCUCAACCCGCGGGCCUGCAGUCGAUACGGGGCAGGCUAGAGUUCGGUAGGGGAGACUGGAAAUUCCUGGUGUAGCGGUGAAAUGCGCAGAUAUCAGGAGGAACACCGAUGGCGAAGGCAGGUCUCUGGGCCGAUACUGACGCUGAGGAGCGAAAGCGUGGGGAGCGAACAGG